rnacentral:misc_RNA from 1 species
GAUAACGAUACCUCUUUGCCUGAUACGUCGUCGUCCUUCUGCUUGGGCUCCCCUAGUCGGUACCUGAGCGGAGAGUCUAGGGUGGAGCGAGCAUGGUCCCACUGGACGAAGCUGGGCCGACCCAAGUUGAUUGUUGCUCCUAUGGUGGACAAUUCGGAGCUGCCGUUUCGAAUGCUUUGUAGAAAAUAUGGGGCCGACGCUGCUUAUACUCCGAUGUUGCAUUCCAGGAUUUUCACUGAGAACGAAAAGUAUCGAAACCAGGAAUUUACUACUUGUCCGGUAUUCACUUAAGCUUCGUUUUUACUAAACUGAUAAGUGAUUUGCUUUAUUUGUGCCUUAGUAAGUAGCAUUAUCUAGUGCCUUAAUUUACUAUAGAAAACUCAGUUUUAUGUGCAUUAUGCUUGAGUUGGAUUUGUUGGGUAUUAAGCCUUUUGGGUUAUCAUGAAAGCUGAUUUAUAUUGUAGAUUUCUAUUACUUUUUAUUAACGUGGGAUGCUUAUGGUUAUGCUACUGUGUAUUGUGAAACUGAGCCUCCUGGAACAAUUCUACAGUUGUAUGCUAUAUACUGCAUUGGUUCGUGCCAUUUUCUUCUGUGGGGAUGGGGGUACAUGAGUUAAUCUCUCACAAAUUGCAAACAUCUAGCUUUGGAUGAUAUUCUUCUCUCUGUUCGUUCUAUGACCAUAAUAUUGAGAUGCGUUUGUGAGAACAAUUGCAGGAAGAUCGUCCAUUAUUUGUUCAAUUUUGUGCCAAUGAUCCAGACACCUUUUUGGAUGCUGCACGGAGGGUUGAACCUUAUUGUGAUUAUGUAGACAUUAAUCUGGGGUAAUAUUCUUAACCAAUUAUCUAAUCAAAUGCUUUUUCUAAUGUCUUUAAAAUAGCUUGAUUUUUUUGAGAGGAAUGAAGAUAACCUUGAUAUUUUAAUACAAGUUUUAGGUUUAGUUUUUUGUUUCUCUGAUUCUUAUGGAAAAUGUUUGGUUAGAGUAGGGAUCUAUUCUUUGCAGCAUAUUAAAAUUUUACUGUUUCUUAGCAUAUCAAAUUAUUCUUGUUUGCACUUAGUUUUAAGAUAUCUGUUGUGAACUUUGAUAAGACUGAUAAAAGGAAUCUCAUUAAGCUCCAAAUUUUUUGAAUCAAGUUAGUUCAUGUCACAAAACACUAUGUAGACUGAAAUAAUAAAGCUUUUUUCAUUACAUGGAUGAGGGAAAGAACGUAAAAGCAGUAUUAUUUUAAAGGGCAUAGAGUACACUGGAGUUCACUAAAAUUUAUCCUUUUGAGAACUUUAAAUCGGUUAAAAAUUCAGUAGUCUUUAGUAUGUUUGGAAUCAUAGGAAAUAGUUGAUGAAAUGGUGUAAUUAUAUAUAUUAGUAGUGGUAAUGAUUUUUGUUGGGGGUAGUGUUGAUUUUGAUUCAAACUGGUGGUAGUUUUGAGUGAUGGUUGUGGUGUUGUUAGUGGCAGUUGAUGAUAAGAAUGAAAAUGAUGGUCGAGUGGUGGCAUUAUGCUGGUAGAAGUAGCGAUGGUUUGGGUGAUACCUGUGUUGUGGUAUUGUGGUGCAUGAUAGUCAUGGUAUGUUGGUGGUGAUGGUGGUGGUGGUGGUACUGAUGGCAAUGAUGAUGGGUCAAAAUUUGAAUGAAAUAUCUUAGAUAUUAGGCAAUUCAAAUAUCGUUCCAUUAGCUUUCUCAUUAUAAAGAAUAAUUUGAUCAUACUUGAAUUGAUGAAAUGUAAUAUAUUUCCAACUAUCAAGCAUGUAUGCAUGAUUCCUGCAACUGUGGACUGAAUCCAAUUACAUAAAAUGUAAUUGGCUAUAAUGGCAUCUGUACAGGUGUCCUCAGCGGAUAGCCAGACGGGGGAACUAUGGAGCUUUCUUAAUGGAUAAUCUUCCGCUUGUCAAAUCUUUAGUUGAAAAGUUGGCUUGCAACCUUCAUGUUCCUGUGUCUUGCAAAAUCCGGGUGUUCCCAAAAUUAGAGGAUACUAUUAAUUAUGCGAAAAUGUUGGAGGAAGCUGGUUGUUCCCUUUUAGCUGUCCAUGGUCGAACUAGAGAUGAGAAAGAUGGAAAGAAAUUCCGGGCUGACUGGAAGGCCAUCAAGG